CUGCGCGCCUUCAGCGGUAGAAAAUGACCAAACCAACCCUGAAUCGUACGACAUCAUGAAAAUAGUUCAACUAAGAUUCCGAUGUCGUCUUCAAUUUCAAAGCCUCUCUCUCCAAGACCUCCUGUCCUUAUCAUAACUGAAGGGGAACGCGAGAAGGCCUAGUGUUAGUAUCGUAAUUCAAAGCCUAGUUGAGGGGUAAUUACGUAACAUUUGAGAGAGAACAGGCUUUCAGUUUCCUAACAGACAAAGGCACACGCUAUACAGCUAACAACCGAAGGGGAAAACAUGACCAAAUAACCAAUAACCUCCCCUUUUCUCUCUCUAGGCCACUCUCACUAGUUCACUAGUUCACUAGUUCGUUGGCCCCGAAGAGAAAAUGGAAGACGAGGCACAGAAAAUGGUGGCUCUGAAGAAGGCGUACGCGGAGAUUAUUCUGAACACAGCGAAGGAGGCAGCGGCCAGAGUAAUGGCGUCGGAGCACAAAGCUCUUCGCUUUCAGCUCGAUCUGCGUUCUACCAAAGACGAGUCGCUUCGCGUGCUUCUCCGCUUAAAGCAAAUGAUCGAUUCCAAGACAAGUGAAGCAGAGAUAACAUCCUCGAGCCAACAAAGAAGGAUUGAUGAGCUUGAAGCACAGCUCCAAGAGGCAGAGGAUAUCAUAACUGAUUUGAGAUCAGAGUUGAAACAAGUAUGGAGUGAGUUGGAGAGGGUAAAUAGCAACCAAGUGAAGCCUUUGGAUAGACAAAUCACAAGGGAAGACGCAUCAUUUUCCGAAAGUCCAACACCUGAGCCCAUCUUACUCUCUCGUCUAGGUUCAGGACAUGAAAUUGUUCCAACUUCUGGCCUGGACAACAUCCCAGUGAGUAGAGGUAUUGACCAUAAAUGCUGUAAUGACAUGAAACAAAGUGAGCAGUUGAGUGUUUCUGAUUUGGAUAAAUUUUACGCCCCUGACUCUGACCUUGCGUCAAUAAUCAUGGGAAGUAAAGAGCCUGAGCUGCUCAGAAAUGGUUGUACACAAAGAAUUCGUGCUUUUGAAAGAAAUUUACUUGAUGAAAAGGUGCUGCCUUCUGGAUAUGUAGACAAUCACAUUUCCCACGGGAAGAAUGAGUUGGGCACCAAAGCAAGUGACAAGGAGGAAGGAAACUGCAAUCCCCCCUCUAUUAGGGACAACAGGAUGGAAGUAAUUAAUAACCCAUGUGUGGGAGAAACCAAAAAGCCUUCUAAAGUCCGCACAUUAAGAAGACGAAAGACUCGAUUUGGGAAAGCCAAAACCUCGAGCCAAUAUUGUCCUAGUGAGCUUAUGAAAUCUCGGCAACCAACUUCAGUCAAUGAAAAUGAUAGAUCCCAUGAAGAUGCAUGCAUCCAACCCUCUGUCAAAGCUGGCAAUGUAGGCGUGACAAGAACUCCCGGUGGGUUGGAAGAAAGUUUGCAGCACAGUAGCCGUUGUUAUACGGACGAAGUUAAGACCAUUCGGAAGGGAAAAAGAAAAAGGAAAAUGAAUGGUAAGAAUGGCAUUACUACCUCAACUGGUCAGCUUACGAAACCUGGUCAGCCGUCUUCUGUUCUUUCACGCUGCAGGACUUUUGCCUAUUUAGGUAAUGGUGGUGUUAAAUCAUACGAAGAUCGACCAAACACGACCCAGAAUGAGGCAAGGAUGAAGGCAUUUCCCCGUCUGGAUCAUGGGUUGACAUUAAUUAGAAGUGAUAUGGAUCCUAUAUCAGGGUCAACAAGUGUUACUGUGAGUAUGAAGCAGAUUAAUGAAGCUGAAGCUGGCGAGAAUGCUGCAGACAAGGACAUGGAAUUGAUAGAUGUGCCUGUGUUGAUAUUGCAGGAAAGUGAUAUUGUGGAGAAUUCAGAGGCUCCAAGUUCUGAAUUUGACCAUGCUACUGCUGAUCUAUCAUUGAUGAAUUCUGAACUAAAAGAUGUAAAUGUAUCAUUGAUGAAUUCUGAAUCAAAAGAUGUGAGAGUAUCAUUAAUGAAUUCUGAAUUAAAAGACGUGAAAGCAUCAGAAAAAUCAAAUAGAUCUCCUAGUCAUGCAGACAACGGUAGACUUCUCAAAUACACUUUCCAGAGGAAGCGCAAGAAUUCCUCAAGAAACCCUGGUCAAAAAUCUUCUUUUGAAGGGAGCACUUCUAAGAGGAGGAUGGAAGAGAGCGAAUGCAUUGUACAAGAGCCGCAGAUGAUGAACGAAUCUUCUAGGGACAACCGGCGACUGGCUCAGGUUGCUCGACAGCUCAUAUCCUUAUCUGGGAAAAAAUGGUCUUAACAAUGAUGGCUUCUGCUAUCUAACGAGUGUUAAGUUGGAUACGAUGGACCAUCGAACUGAUUUUUGAGAGAUGAUUUUCCAUAGAAAUUGGACGAGCAGCUGGCUGCAUUGCAUCAGGGGAGAGAGUUGACACCUCCCCAUUCCUGUCAAAAUUUCUCCUUUCGAAUAGAAAUGCUGCCUCUCUCACUUAUCCUUUCCGGGUUUUCAGUAAGCUCUAGUUUGGUUCACAUUUUUAGAAGUGAAGCAUAUUUCAAGCUGAUGCUUAUAAUCUUGUUAUUUCUCAUUCAUUCUCAUAGCACAGCAAACGGUUCAAACGAGUCACCAUGUAAACAAAUCAUUUUUAUAGAAGAAAUAAGACAAUUCACAGAAUGAAUUUAACAAAUAAUAA